rnacentral:rRNA from 1 species
UUCACGGAGAGUUUGAUCCUGGCUCAGGACGAACGCUGGCGGCGUGCUUAACACAUGCAAGUCGAACGAUGAAACCGCUUCGGUGGUGGAUUAGUGGCGAACGGGUGAGUAACACGUGGGCAAUCUGCCCUUCACUCUGGGACAAGCCCUGGAAACGGGGUCUAAUACCGGAUAACACUCUGUCCCGCAUGGGACGGGGUUGAAAGCU